GCCAUGCUGGGCAAUCCAAAUUUGAUCUAAAAUUAUCGCUAAACAGAAUGUUACAACAAUGCCACUGUAGUCUAGUAGACAACCGUGGCAAACAAGUGCCAUCAAAUUACAAAAUUGUUCUGUGUUUUUAUUGAAUAUAAUACAUUGGAUUUGGGAGUUUAAAGGACCUCUCUGCCACUGCAAACCCCAAUAAGUCACUCCACUGAUCUCCAGAGCUACCAUGUAUUCUAUAGCCUUCAUUUACCAACUCCAGUCUCCUCUGAGAUUUGUACAGAGUAGCUGACUUGCCUCGAUCCGAAGUUUGCCUCAAAAUUAGCCUUUCCCAAUCGCCAUAUCCUGCAAAUAGAAGAUUUUUUCCUGUGACAUUCCUUUGAUAUUCACCCCGCCCAGUCAAUAAAAAAAUUGUAAAUCCCAACUGCUUUAGCUCCUUGUAUAAAUUCAAACUUGCUGGUAAAGCAGGCGCUUCAGCUAAAUCCACCCAUUCGUCGAAAGAUGCAUCAUCGAAGGGCUCCGAUCCGAAUCCAUGGAGCGCGUAGUAGGGAAGAUUGGAUAGCAGAGUCUCAUCAAUAUCGAAGACCCAAGCGUCCUUCCCAUCGCCAGCAAUCUUCACGGUCCUAGCAAAGGCAAGGGAAUCGGAAGCCACGACCUCAGAAUCGGAGAAGUAGAGGUUACCGGUGGUGUAAUGCUCCACGUAGCGCUCGCAUCUGGAAGGAAGGUUAGUCCAGUAUCCGGCGUUGUUGGUUUCUACUGAGAGUCUCCAGCUAGCGCAAUAGAGAUCAUCGUCUGCGUUGCGAGUUUUACGGUCGCUGGGCAUUCGGAUGAUGGACUGGGAAACGGUGAUGGAUAGGAGGCUAAAGAGGAGGAGCGAAAGGAGGGACUGGGAGGCGGCCAUUGGAGGAAAAGCGAGAACAGGAUUGAUCGUUGGCAAGAGAGGCUUUACUUUCGUCUCCCCACCAAGCAGAUGGGGAGAGAGUCAGAGAGGCCAAUCGUAACAGAAGAACAAGAAGGUUUCUAUCUGUGUAAUAAUAUCAGUUUUGAAUUGUUAAAUAUGCACCUUAACGCCACUGAAAUCGGG
rnacentral:misc_RNA from 1 species